rnacentral:lncRNA from 1 species
AUGAGACAGGAGUUCCCUACUCUGUGUCAUCGUGUUGAAAGGCAAUGGCCUGCCUUCCACUAUCAACACCAGAAGGGCAAGACCUUCUCUUGCUCUGCCCUGGAAGGCAGCAAAUGUGCAUGUUUCUUUGCAACAGUUACUCAGAUGGCCCACACCAGGACUUUGUCUCUUGGCCGAAUGUCACAAAAAAAUGAGGAACAUAAGAAUUCUUUCGAGACUGUCGUGGAGACCAUGUCCUAGAACUCAGAAAACAUAGCCUCACUGUGUCUGUUGAGCAUCUUGGCUCCCAGAAGCUCUUCGAAUAUCAAGCCUGGCUCCCAGACUCAACAUUCGAACUGUGGCCCUAUAUUUCCUUUUAAUAACUCUUCAUUUUUGCUUGAGCAAGGUAGAAUUGGUUUCUGCUUUUUACAGUUAAUUGCAUUGCGGAUGAUGCCAAUGCUGAGGGGAGAUUCAGACUCAGUCUUGCCAUCGAAGAUCUUCUCUCCUCAAACUAAAUCCUUAAAACUAUCAAAUUGGUAGUUAUACAAAAGGAACGACAGCAUUGGAUAACAAUAAUUUCUGUACUACUGGAUAAUUUCUCUCAACAAAAUAGAAAAUAAGAAGUUAAGGUCUGUGUUUUUUGAGAUUGGGAAGAAGUUGAAACUUGGCUCUCUUUAUAUCUGGAAACUUGAAAUGUACUAUAAUAUCUGUUCUUUAUAUAAAUCUCUAUUGUAAAUGUUAUAUAAAUGUAAACAUGCAUAGAUGCUUCUUGACAGGGCAAAGCAAGAGAAGGUCUUGCCCUUCUGGUGUUGGUAGUAGAAGGCAGACCACUGACUUACUACAAUAUUAAAUGAUACUAUACUAAUAUAAACCUAUCUUUAUAAAUUAUGCAAAGAAAAGCUAACUUACUACUAAGCUGAUAUUUUUCAUCUACAAGGUCAUUUCAACUACCUUCGAAUUCACGUGGCAUACACAGAUGAAAUACAGGGUGUUCUAUUAGAAGUAGUCAUCAAAAUACUAAAAAUCAUACCUCCCAAUAUAAUAAACAGAUCUAGCAUUAGGAAUCA